rnacentral:lncRNA from 1 species
AAACAAAAAAAAAAAACAAGAAGCUACUGAGAAGGUCAGAAUAGUAUUAUUACUGAAUAAAACAGAAAAAAAAUAUUAAAAUGUAUUGUUGUAACCAUUUAUUUAAUUUUCUGUUCAGGAUGUGUACAUUUCUGUUGUUGCUGUGUUUGGUGGGGUCUAUCUCCACUCAAGAGUCUGGUAAGUUGAAAAGAAAACUGAGAUAAUAUUAUACGUUAUACGGUUUUGUAUUAUUAUUAUUAUUAUUAUUACUACCAUUUAGCUGAUACUUGACUUAUAAUUUGCCUUCAGGUGAUAAUGGUCAGGAAGACUAUGAAAUCCAAAACAAUAUAGAACCUUCCACUCUAAGUCAAGACACAUCUGAAGAUCAUCUGGAAGAUGUUCUGAUAUCUGAUAAAGGCACAGUUUCCAAAAUAUGUCCUGAGGGUGAUAACUGUAAAUUUUACAAAUUCUUUUACCAUCAUCGUAAUUUUCAUACAGCUCAGGUUGGUGCUUGCUGGUUUUCAUAUGUUUUUUUUUUAUUUGUAUCUAUAUAUAAUGCAAGUUUUAUAAUACACACAAUGUGUGAAUAAGAGCAUGUAGUCCACCAAACUAUCACCACAAUAAUCAGUCUUUACCAGCAUGAUAGCAGUGGAUUACAAUUCUGACUAUAGUUAGCUAAUCAAAAGACAACAAAAUUUAUGCAGUGGGAACUUUUCUUUUGGUCACUGACAGAAAACAUCUUCCAUUCUGACUUAUUUACAUGUAUAAGAUAUGAAAGUUCAGGCUGGAGAAAAAUUGAGAAACCAUAGUGCAAUACUGAUUGUGAAUAACAAAUACACUUUAAUUGUCACACUUACAAGGUAAAAAAUUAUAAAAUACGUUCUCAUGAUCCCCAGUCCAGGUCCAACAAUAUAUUGAUGAGCCUGAACUUUCAGUCAUUCUGUGAGUGCAACCUUUAACUCUCGGGGUGAUCUAAUAUUACGUUACUACCCUAUAAGUACUUUCUCUAUUUUAUAUUUUUAGGUAUAUUUUGUUUUUCUAGUUUUGUAUGAGGAUUGAGAGGAGUCCUUUGGGUAUAUUGUGCCGCUUAUAAAGGGGGUGAUUACCUUUUCAUUGAUUUUGCACUUCUGCACCUGGGUGGUCUAUACAUCUGUUUGUUCAUAUUGACUUAUUUACAUGACAGUUCUACUUUGCAGCUGCUGGAAUGUCUGAAGUUGUCUGUGAUUGGCUCAGGAUGAGCUAUAAUCAUAGACGUGUAUAGAAAAUAUUACUUAGCUUUGUCAAAUUUCUUCUGAUGAUACCUACAUGAAAACAAUUGCAAUUAUUACUCUUUUAUUUAUAAACAUUUGUGCCUGGCAAAUAACUUUUGAAAAUAAUGAAUUUGAUGUCUGCGGUUUAAGGGUACAUCCUUAAUUCAGUUAACAAUAUUCAUGCACUAAUUUUAGAUAUACCAUACAAGGGGGGUCUAUUUAAGUAGUGCCUAAAAGUUUGAAGGCAAAAAAAAAAUAAAGUUGUACUUGGAGUUGCAUCUUUGGAUAUAAUGUGUGACUCUUCUUGCUCAAUUCACUGAAUUCUAAUUCUUGGUUUGUCUUUAUCUACAUUGUGUUCCACAGGGAAUCUGUAGACACUUUGGUGGGAAUCUCUGUUCAAUUCACAGCACACGGGCCAACAGACAGAUUUCGAAUUUCGUGAGGAGAGCACAUAAAGGUGUGACAUUGGUCUGGAUUGGUGUGAGGAACUAUGGAGGAGUAAGCAUCAUUUCAUUCAAUUUUUUAACAAAGUAAAAGUAAAUUUAGCAUACGGAAAUUAUUUUUCUUUGUAACUGUUUCAAAUACCAAUAGAGAUUAUUAGAAUUACUAUUAUUGUUUGCCUUAUGCACAAAAAUACUGACUUACACCUGCUGCAAUCCUUUUCUUGCAAUUGUUGCACAGUUUUUAUGUACAUGCACUCCUUCUCAAUUCUAAAAACUACUAGGUUUUCCCCUAAUUGAAUGGCUCUAAUUUGGUUUAUGUGGACAAUUUUAUUUUUUUAAUCUGUUGAUUUAUUUCAAAUUGAUGUUACUAUACAGCUCUGAUCAAUAUGUGCUGGAGCUGUUUAUUGAUCAAAUUAGUCCAAAAAAAAAAAAACAUCAACAUUUCUAUAGCAGCUGUCAUAUUAUCAGAGAACUGUCAUCAGUCUACAACUCACCAGUUUUUUUUUAAGUUGCAGUGAAAAAUUAUCUACACAAACCUCUUUAUAAAACAUAUGUUUUUCUGGCUUUAUCUGGCACACAAACUCCAAGGUUCUUAACUCCAAGGUUCUUUUUUACUACUCUGGUGUACUGUUUUCCCCAGCACUAUGUAUUGAAUUCUCUUUGUUUUCAUGUAUUCUAGGUAACUGUUACAUGUACAUUGCCUAAACGACAUACUUUAUAUUAGAGUUAUAUUAGAUUAAUUUAAUCUAGUGUGUUUUAGCUUGGACACACUGAAGUAUGUGCAUUCAUGUUUUUCUUGAACAACACUGUCUAUAUAAAUCAGAUACAUGCUGAAUAUCCAUUUUUUAUUGUUUGCAUACAUAUAUUUGUGUUUGGGGCAUUCUCAUAUGAUAUAGAAUAAGAUGGGUUGUAGAGAUGUAGCUUUAGGAAUAAUCGGUUGAGGUGUGCCAAAACCGACGUAUGCUGUAGGCCGGUAAAAAGUGGGCAAAAAGAGACAUAUUAAUGCAAAACAUUAUACAGGAUCAUAGUGCAUUUGUUAACCAUCAGGUAGACAUUUUAAUGAAAGCUUCCUAAUUCCUGAAUCGGCUGUGGUAUGUAAGUCGCAUAAGUCUAUGAUUCCCAGUAGCAGUUUUGAUAACUGCAUAGGUGCGUGGCUCGGAAGGUGCAUGGUCGAGUGGUUCUGACAUGAUUUGAACAUUGUAUGUCUAUGGCCAGUAUUUAGUUUUAGCAGGAACGUCCGCUUAGCUAUGUCUCUAAGUAAGGUAUGGAUGGGGUAGGAGGAUAGGAACCCUUGUUGUUUGGGAAGGAGAAAUACGUAUAAUGUUGAAUGCCCGUGAGAUAAGUUUAACCGUGUUGUGCGAGAAUUUUUAACUUAAGGUGGCAAAAAGAGGCGAAGGCCAUAAGUGGUGAAACCUCAAACCAGCUAUCUAAGUGAUGGUCCGACAUGAAACGUAUUGUAUAAGUGGAAAACCCUGUAGCAAGCGUGUUGAGUGCUGGUGGACAAGACCAGUUUAGUCAGAGCCCGGCUAUGUUGGCGAGGUUCAUGUAAUCCAUGACCUUGACCAUAAAUGACCCCCUUGCCAUGGCUGCUGUCACGACAGCUGCCACAAUAGUUUACCAUUACGUGUUGUUAAGAAAGUCCACCAUAAGUGUAGGUCUGCCGUGGCUUGGUUGUCUAGGGACAGCCCCUGAUCAUCAUGCGGGAGUGUGGAAAAAGCAAAGUGGUCUUAGAUGAAAGCGUGGCCUGUGGUAUAAUGCGCAUGGCAAAAUUUAAGGAACCUGGUAGGGAUUGUAGUUCCAUGCGGUUGCAAGUACCAAGCAGGAGGUGGUAAUUGGUGUUGUUGCGACUGUUCCUAUUUCCACCAAAAGUAGAACUUUGGACACGAAAAUAUAUAUUCUAUUGGACUCAACACCCAGUGUACACAUCGGCGCAGACCCAUCCCCCCAUCUUUCUUGUUCCUACCAUUUGAUUUCCAAGGACACUAGAAGGAGUCCUUGUUUGGGACUGCUGCCUUUCUGACUAGCGCUGACUCUACCCCCCGUUCUGCUGCCCAUAAAUGCCCUGUAAGUGCCAGUGUAGGGUGGAUGGUGGCAGUCUGAAAUGCGUUUGUGAUAUCAGUUUUACUUAACCAGGCUUCCCCCCCUUCUUGAGUGAUAGCUGUAAUGGUUUGAACAAUGGUGGCAUACUGUAAUGAAAACUCCUCAGAGGGUAUGAGGGAGUUGAGACUUGGGGUAGCUGGGACAAAAUUGUUGUGUGGGACUAGCAACAUCUUCUCCAAGUGAAUGUGUGUUGACUCUAGCUGGAGUGUUAGGUAGAGAGAAAUCCUUACCACCUGCUUGAUACAUACUAAAAAACAUGAAGAUAGCCAUUAUUAUAUGAACCCACAGUGUGCUAGUACUGGCUUGCUAGCUAAAGCCACAUGGCGAAACAAUUAAUCCUUUGUUUGGUGACAGGUGAGGCCCUGCUAGUUGCCAAGUGGCUUGAGAGGCUCUAUCUAUGCAAUGGUGCAAGGGGAUUUUUGUGGCCACCAAACGUAGUGGCAGGAUGUUGGCCUCUCGGUGACUGAAACCAGAAAAAAGGGGAAGGGAGUGACAGGUGAGGCCCUCUCUAUACACCAUGUAAGGCGGCUAGCUCACGAGUGCCCAUAUGUGUGUUAUGCAAGUUUAAAAGAGAAAAGUGCACCGUCCCAAUGUUUAUUGUAUGCUUGUAAUGCCCCUGUUUGAAGGAAAUUAACUUUUCGGGAGUGUUAUAUCAUGUGUGAUAUGGAAUACAACUGUACCCCGAAACAUGAGUGCCGUGAACCAUGACUGGCAGCUGAAUAACCUAAUAUGUGAAAAUGCGUAAUUGGAAGGACUUAUAUUUUAAGCGUGCAAACAUGCAAAUAUUCCGUAUUAGACUCUGGAAUCCAGACCCCUUAAGGACCAAAUUUCUGGAAUAAAAGGGAAUCAUGACAUGUCACACUUAAAUUCUGUUUGCAAAUUAUUUUGAGCAUUUAAGCAUUUGUGGUGAUUUUAUGGUGUUUAUUUUGAAUAGAGGUCCUCCCAAGUCUUUAAACCUACCAUUCAAUUUAUCAGACAUGCACUAAUGCACUCCCCUUAUAGAUUUUUAUAUACAUAUGCUUGCUCUCUUAAACACAGAAUUAACUUACCACACACUCACACUAUUACAGAGGCACACUUAUUUAUACACACUCUAAAGCUAAAUUAUGCACACUCUAAUACUUUAAAUAACACGUGCACUCAUUAAUUUAUGCACAAUUGCAACAAAUUGCAAUCACACUUAAAAUUACACACACACACAAUGAGAUAAUGUGUCUCUGUAUAAUAAUAGAUGUUCUAAAAUUAGUUUUUGACCUUCUAGGCCAUGAUCUGUGACUACAUUUUAGGAAAGAACAAUGUUUAAGGUUACAGGUUGUAUCAUUGACUUUUUUUUUGUUGUUGUUGCAAUUCCUUUCAGAAUUCUCCAUUCAGAAAUGUAGAUGGAACUCGACUGGAUUACACCAACUGGGGAUGUGGGCUAUCUUCCAGUACUAGUAGGUGCACUGCCCUUAAUAUUCACAGUAAGUAAAAAAAAAAAAAAAAAAAGUCUUAGCCUUAAGCUGAAUUUAUAGUCUUAGGUCCUGACACUAUAAUAGCUUCUACCUGCAGUGUACGAUUUGGUUCUGGUGAAAUCAAUAAAACGCAGACUUAACUAUGGCCCCUGUACAAAUUUUCUGUAAAAUUAGAAGUGGUCUCUGCUGAGUAAUUACUGAUGUGGCUAUCAUACACUCGGCUACCAAGAGCAGUGCAUAAUAAAAUGGCAUGAAUCUGAAAACGUGUUUCAUUUUACUGUACUCAUACAGUGAUCAACUUGGCCUUUGUUAAUGAAAUAGAAGUUAAACUUGUUAUUCAGACGUGUGAAUGGCAUGUUCAUUUUAAAAGUUAUUUAUAAUCAUUGUGGCUCUCACAACAUCCCCCAAAUCUUUCCAAAGUAGUAUAACACUGUCUGUCAUAGAGUGCAGAGAAUACCAGGUGAGGAGAACACAUAUAUGGAUCUUCUAUCCACCUAGUUCUAGAGAUAUGUUAUUUAUAAGUUAAAACACAAAUUAGGAAAAUUGCUACACACUGCAAUAUAUUAUGUUUUAAAAAAAGAUACUGAUAAGCCCCUGUAACGGAUCACCUGGCACCCCGACUGGGUACCUCCGUUGAAGGAUGCACCUAGCGCUUACAGAGGGCUCCAAGCGCUCCGCAGGCACCACAACCACCGCAGACCCAACUAACCGCCCCAGCUUGGUUGGGGUCUCGCUGUCUCCUACCCACCCUGGACCUACGACAAGGCUACAAGUUGCAGUGGGUGAACCUCUCCUCCAAGAGAGUGAAGCAGGAACAAGCUCUUAAAAGAGCUUAGUAGUGAUUAGCUAAGGGAGUAUGCAGAGCAUAGCAAUCCCUUGUAGUGAUAUAGUAAUUCCCCCAAUAAGAGACAGGACUCUAGAUUGAGGGUGAAGAAGAACUGUCUGUACUGGCACAUACAGCCUCUUUUAUUCACAUUCUACAAACAUAGUACUGCCCACAGGGUUUUGGAGAACAACCAAUCAACACAUUACAACACAGCUAACACUCCCAUUCAUUACAUGAGAAAUCCUCCCCUCUGCCUGUGAUACAAUUAUCCCAACACAAUAGACUAACUUAAUUAUCACAGGCAGGAAAAUACGGUAUUGUAAAACAUAUCACAGGGACCCCAAAACAUGCAAUAACCCCAUAAAAAACCGGGGGAUCUGGGUGAACCACAUAUCCAAAAUUCACCCAGAUCCGUUCAAUAGUUUGGAAGAUACGGUUUAAUACAGAUUCCGCAGAACAUAUACAGGCUAUAUGAAAAAUAAUUACUGUUAAAUGUGUCCAGUGUUCUGUAGUUCAAAACUACUGAACGAUGUCUUUGUGCACCAAAUACCGGCGAGAUGGCACUGUGUAGAAAAGUCAAAACAGUGUCUGUGAGUUAAAAUGGCUGCCAUCCAGUGUUCUCACCAUGUGCUUCAUCCAUUGUUCUCACCAUGUGCAUCUGAUACAUGAAAUGGUGGCCACCCAGUAACUCCACAGUUUGUCCCCAGAUGGUUCUUAAAGGGCCAGCAGCAGCAUAAUAAAAUACAGUAUGCUCAGAUCAGUUCCUUAAAGGGCAAUACAUCCCAGGGCCAUAGUCGCAGGGCAGGAGGCUGGCAAACAGGCCCCUCCAAAAACCAGUGGCGAGGUCACUUUCGCCACAGCCCCUUUUGCUAAUUUUUAUUUUUUGCUUUUUUUUUACAGCUGGACGAUGGCAUACUUUCCAUUGUGGGAUACUUCUGCCAUUUGUUUGCACCUGCUAGCAAUGUUGUUGACCUGCAACUUACAACACAUUUUACUCUUCAUGGGCAUUCCAGACCCAACUUAAUAUGCAUUUUUUUUAAAACAUAUUUUCAAUAAAGUUUGAAGCAACAUGUAUAUGUAUGAUGUUCUUUGUGUGUCCUGCAUUGUAUAAUACUGAGUAGUUUUAUUUCCUGUUGAUAUUAAUAUAUACUAUAAAACCUUGUAAGUGAGCUUGGAUUCUUACAUGUGUUAAUGUCUCAAUAACUUACUAUGUUUCACUUUAAAAAGUUGACACUAAGAAAUUCACCAUCACUAUUGCCUCUUUAUAAUG